rnacentral:rRNA from 1 species
GGAGUUAGCCGGUGCUUCUUCUGUGAGUGAUGUCCUUCCUGCCGGCUAUUAACCCGCAGGCCUUCUUCCUCACUGAAAGUGCUUUACAACCCGAAGGCCUUCUUCACACACGCGGCAUGGCUGGAUCAGGGUUGCCCCCAUUGUCCAAUAUUCCCCACUGCUGCCUCCCGUAGGAGUCUGGGCCGUGUCUCAGUCCCAGUGUGGCUGAUCAUCCUCUCAGACCAGCUACGGAUCGUCGCCUUGGUGAGCCGUUACCUCACCAACCAGCUAAUCCGACAUAGGCUCAUCCGAUAGCGCGAGGCCCGAAGGUCCCCCGCUUUCCCCCGUAGGGCGUAUGCGGUAUUAGCCUGGGUUUCCCCAGGUUAUCCCCCACUACCGGGCAGAUUCCUAUGCAUUACUCACCCGUCCGCCGCUCGCCACCCAGGGAGCAAGCUCCCCGUGCUGCCGCUCGACUUGCAUGUGUAGCUGCCGCCAGCGUCAAUCUGAGCAUAAUACAAACUACUGA